rnacentral:tRNA from 1 species
UAGUAAGAGAACACUUGUUCAUAAGUAAAUUUACAAUUUACCAUCUUAUUUAGAUUACCUUACU